AGUUUGAUCCUGGCUCAGAUUGAACGCUGGCGGGAUGCUUACACAUGCAAGUCGAACGGCACCGGACUUCGGUCUGGUGGCGAGUGGCGAACGGGGAGCAAUGUAUCGGAAUGCCUAGUAGGUGGGGGAUAACUACGCGAAAGCGUAGCUAAUACCGCAUACGCCCUUCGGGGGAAAGCGGGGGACCUUCGGGCCUCGCACUAUUAGAGCGGCCGAUAUCGGAUUAGCUGGUUGGUGGGGUAACGGCUCACCAAGGCGACGAUCCGUAGCUGGUUUGAGAGGACGACCAGCCACACUGGGACUGAGACACGGCCCAGACUCCUACGGGAGGCAGCAGUGGGGAAUUUUGGACAAUGGGGGAAACCUGGAUCCAAUAUCCUGCGUGCGAUGAAGGCCUUCGGGUUGUAAAGCACUUUGGCAGGGAAAAAGAAACGGCACGGGAUAAUACCCCCGUGCAACUGACGGUACUCGCAGAAUAAGCACCGGCUAACUACGCCAGCAGCCGCGGUAAUACGUAGGCAAGCGUUAAAUUGUGGAAUUACUGGGCGGCGCAGGCGGUUCGGAAAGAAAGAUGUGAAAUCCCAGAGCUUAACUUGAACUGCAUUUUUAACUACCGAGCUAGAGUGUGUCAGAGGGAGGUGGAAACCCGCGUGUAGCAGUAAAUGCGUAGAUAUGCGGAGGAACACCCUGAUGGCGAAGGCAGCCUCCUGGGAUAACACUGACGCUCAUGCACGAGCGUGUGAUUGAUUAGAUAAUUCCGGUAGUCCACGCCCUAAACGAUGUCAAUCCAGCUGUUGGGGCCUCGGCCUGGUAGGCAGCUAACGCGUGAAGUUGACCGCCUGGGGAGUACGGUCGCAAGAUUAAAAACUCAAAGGAAUUGAUUGGGACUCCGCACAAGCGGUGGAUAGAGUGGAUUAAUUCGAUGCAACGCGAAAAACCUACCUACCCUUGACAUGUUCGGAAUCCCGAAGAGAUUUGGGAGUGCUCGCAAGAGAACCGGAACACAGGUGCUGCAAGGGUUGCCGUCAGCUCGUGUCGUAGAUGUUGCUAAGUCCCGCAACGAGCGCAACCUUUGUCAUUGGGCUAGUUGCUACGAAAGGGCACUCUAAUGAGACUGCCGGUGACAAACCGAGGAAGGUGAUGACGUCAAGUCCUCAUGGCCCUUGGUGGGUAGGGCUUCGACGUCAUACAAUGGUCGGGACAGAGGGUCGCCAACCCGCGAGGGGGAGCCAAUCCCAGAAACCCGAUCUAGUCCGGAUCGCAGUCUGCAACUCGGCUGCGUGAAGUCGGAAUCGCUGGUAAUCGCGGAUCAGCAUGUCGCGUGAAUACGUUCCUGGUCUUGUACACACCGCCUGUCACACCAUGGAGUGGGUUUUACCAGAAGUGUUGGGCCUAACCGUAAGAGUGGGCGAUUACCACGGUAGGAUUCAUGAUUGGGGUGAAGUCGUAUCAAGGUAG
rnacentral:rRNA from 1 species